rnacentral:tRNA from 1 species
GCGCUGGUGGUGUAAGGCGAACAUCGCUGCCCGGAAAGUAGAAGAUGCGGGUUCGAGUCCCGUCUGGCGCA